AUUGAACGCUGGCGGCAUGCCUUACACAUGCAAGUCGAACGGCAGCACGGGUGCUUGCACCUGGUGGCGAGUGGCGAACGGGUGAGUAAUACAUCGGAACAUGUCCUGUAGUGGGGGAUAGCCCGGCGAAAGCCGGAUUAAUACCGCAUACGAUCUACGGAUGAAAGCGGGGGACCUUCGGGCCUCGCGCUAUAGGGUUGGCCGAUGGCUGAUUAGCUAGUUGGUGGGGUAAAGGCCUACCAAGGCGACGAUCAGCAGCUGGUCUGAGAGGACGACCAGCCACACUGGGACUUAGACACGGCCCAGACUCCUACGGGAGGCAGCAGUGGGGAAUUUUGGACAAUGGGCGAAAGCCUGAUCCAGCAAUGCCGCGUGUGUGAAGAAGGCCUUCGGGUUGUAAAGCACUUUUGUCCGGAAAGAAAUCCUUGGCCCUAAUACGGUCGGGGGAUGACGGUACCGGAAGAAUAAGCACCGGCUAACUACGUA
rnacentral:rRNA from 1 species